rnacentral:lncRNA from 1 species
UGUCAUUGGCCCGUGCCUCCUCGGUCCCGCGGCUGGUCCCGCCCCCCUGAGGGCGAGCUCUGGCUCCCAUUGGACCGUCGGCGAGGGGAGGGGUGAGCUAUAAAUGGAGAAUAGGUCCACGUGACAGUUUGGCAGCUGCUCCUCUCCCCCCACCCCUCACAACCCUCCGCUUCUGAGGCUGCGCAGGGGGCGGAAGGGCUUAGAGUAGAGCCUUGAUUUUGCCGCCUCUUCCAGGAAGUCUUCCCAGACACUCAGCUGUAAAAGUGGAGGUUCAGGCCAGCUAAGACGGACGUCCUCCCAUAAAAUGAUGCUUCUCAGCGUGGCCAGCUUCACGGGCGUGCAACCGGCUUGGAAGGACCCCGCGCUUGGUUUAAUGGUCUGCUGUUACAGUCUUGAAGUUCUUAUAUUUUGAACAAGGGGCCCCACAUUUUCAUUUUGCCCUGGGCCUUUCAAAUUAUGUAGCCAGAUUUGCUUCUAAGAGUAUAAGAUCGGUUAUAUCCCCAAUUCUGGAAUUAUAAGGCUCUGGGUGGAAGAGUCUAUGAUUCGACCAGAACAGAAUCUAAGCAUCUUUUGUCUCCCCGAUGCUCGAGGCUUUGCGCUCACCGUUCUAGAUUCCAGGGGCCUUUGUUCUCCGUUCUAAGAGGCUUUGUUCUCAGCCUUCUGAGAUGCUCUGUUCUCAACGUUCUGUGGUCCUGAGAGUCUGAGCCUGACAUUGGUUUCCAAGGUUCCCUCCUCCCUCCUCUGGCUCCGCGAGCGGGGCUGGCGCCCCCUCAGGCGGCCAGCCUGUGUCACUACGCCGAGUGUGCGUCCCUACAAGCUUCAAGAUGUAGUUCCAAUAUUCAUACCCAUUUCUCAGACAGACCUUGACUCUUUAAAAGCCAGGGACCCGAAGAUCACGUGAGAACGUCCCCAUUUUAUGACCUCCUGCGCACCAGGCGACCUCCCAGUCGUGAGCCGGAGAAGCAACGGCAGGGAUUGAGGGCAAAAAGAUUGCCUGGGGGUGAGCCGCAGCUCUGCCACUUUCCAGCUGUGUAACCUUGGGAAACUUGCUUAACCUCUCUGUGCCUCAAUUUCCUCAUCUGUGUAAUGGGGGUCAUAACACUGUCUGCCUCGUACAGUUGUUAUGAGGCGUAAAUGAGAGAUUUGUCACUUUGACACUUGGAGCAGUGUCUUCCAGGUAUAAAAAGCCACAAAAGGGUCUGGAAAAUAAGCACAAAAUAACGUAGUGAGCCCCAAGGAGACAAAUGAGUCUGGACUUUAGUAGGGACAAACUUUACUCAGUCUCCCUCUUGUUUAAGACAGAACUACACCGUCCUUAAACGGCCUUAAUUUUCCAACAAGGGAGAGAUGACACGGACUGACCCUGGGCGGAUAUGGAGAGCUCACUCUCCAACAAGAUUUUCUUAAUGUCUGCGGUGAUGUCGGGACUGGCUUUUCGUCCCUGCUGUUUGUGCAAGACCUGUUGAACCAUUUGAUGUGUAAAAUGUUGGAUCUGGAGCCGACUGAGGGCACCAGGCAUUUGAAGAUGAGUAUUCCUGGGAAGAGAAAUCCAAAGAGAACUAUUCAUGGUUGAAUAAGGGCCUAAAACCAAGAUCUGAGGCCAGACGGCAGCCAGUCGAGAGGGUUCCAAGAAGGAGGUGAGAAGAGAUCCUUGGUUGGUGGCGUCAGAACGGCGGUAGCAACUGGGCAGACUGCCUUGUCGGCUUCUCCAUCUUCUUGUUUGUGGUGAUAAUGUCUGAGUUCCUGAGGAACAGGCAGGAGUUGCUCCCAACCACAGCACACAAGUUCCUCCCCUGGAAGCCCCUUGCCUGGGUACAGACGUCGCCUGAAUAUGGUCGGAGGCCAUGUCAGAUCCUUGGAAUUUACUCCCAAGCAUCUGGCUUCUUAUUCACGCCUCCUUUAGAUCCUAAGGAAAAAAGAGAUCACGGUCAUCCCGGAUCUUGUGUCUGCAUGGUGAUUUUCAGCCCCCACACGAUUUGGCAGACCCCUUCGUCUGUGAGGACUUGGGGGUUUGAGAAGAGAGUGAAUUUUAUCGAUAGAAUGAAGGGAAUCGAAACUCUGACAAGAUAACUGGAGCCCAUUCGGCUGGUGGACAGACACCAGUCUGCAAAACCUCCACACACAGAGUCUGCAUCCUUGGGGUCCAUCCAAGCCACAUAAAAAUAAUUGUCUUGUUUAUUUGAGCGGUCAGAAAAUAAGUGUUGAUUAAAGGUGGAAAACCAAGAAGAAGCUGCCGGGGACAGGACUGGGCUAUGAGAUGAGUCAUAAGAGGAGUGAUGCCACUGAUCCCAAGAGAAAUUGUCAGCAGCAUCAGUUGACUUGAGUGACCCAGGCUGAGUGAGAUUUUUUUUUUUUUUUUUUUUUAGGAAGAUUAGCCCUGAGCUAACUGCUGCCAAUCCUCCUCUUUCUGCUGAGGAAGACUGGCCCUGAGCUAACAUCCGUGCCCAUCUUCCUCUACCUUAUACGUGGGACGCCUGCCACAGCAUGGCUUGCCAAGCUGUGCCAUGUCCACACCCAGGAUCCGAACCGGUGAACCCCAAGCUGCCAAAGCAGAACGUGUGCACUUAACCACUGCACCACCAGGCCGGCCCUGAGUAAGAUUUUGAUAGCCGGAAGCCCCAGGUGAGCUCAGUGAGGAGGUGGUGCCCGCCAUUAGGGUUGUUACGGUGGCAUUUCCCAUAUAAAAGGUCCAGCAAUUCCAGAGACUGAGUUCGAUGAAGGGGCUGUUAGGGACGUUGUGCCAGAAGCACAUGAAUCCUGAUUCAUCGAUGGUAGGGGUCCCGGGAGGUUCCUGCGACAAUCAAUGGAUACUUUGCGUCCCUAUGAGCUUGGGGGAGAUAUGGAGCGUCAGUGAGUGAGCUGUCGAAAUGAACUGAGCAGACGAGAAGCUCAUCCACAUACUGGAUUCAAGAGAAAUUGCAAGGGAAGACCCAACCCCGAAAAGAGCAUUCAGAGUCCCAGAAAAGUCAGGCUCCGGGGGCCCCUGGGGGCAUAACCGUUGGAGCAUAUUGUUGACUUCCCCAGGUGAAAGCAGAAAGGGACUGUGAGUCGGGAUGGAGAGGGACGUGAAAGAAAGCAGAGGAAAUGCUAAGACAUUCAAACGGGUGGUGCUGGAGGUACACGUGGAGCCCAGGAUGGUGUUUCAAGUGGCAACUGGCGAGAACCUCUUUGAUUGACGGCCUCCAGGUCUUGGACCAGCGAGCAUCCUCAUGGUAACACUGGGGCUCCUGACGGACAAGAUGGGAGAGUUGCAGGGGCCCGAGCGGUAUUCGGAGGCCCUGAGUGAUGGGUUGGAGGCCCUGCGGGGCCUCUGGUGUCAGAGCAUGUUAAGACAGUUCCAGGAGGGACAUAAAAAGAUCUGUUUCCACUUUAAGAGGUUCAGCCUCCGGGGCCGGCCCGUUGGUGCAACGGUUAAGUGUGCAUGCUCUGCUUUGGUGGCCCGGGGUUCGCUGGUUCGGAUCCCGGCUGCGGACAUGGCACCACUUGGCAUGCCAUACUGUGGUAGGCGGCCCACAUAUAAAGUAGAGGAAGAUGGGGCACGGAUGUUAGCUCAGGGCCAGUCUUCCUCAGCAAAAAGAGGAGGAUUGGCAGCAGUUAGCUCAGGGCUAAUCUUCCUCAAGAAAAAAAAAGAAGAGGUUCAGCCUCUGAGAUGCACCUUCUCUUUGUUGAGUUGGGGGCCCAAAGAGAAGCAGGAGUGCGGGUCAGCCUAUCUGGAUGAUGCGGGCUGGACGGAGAGGCUGCCGGGUGUUUUUGGGGGGGGGAGGUGCGGAAGGUUAGGGGACUAAGAUGGACAGGAGCAGUCAGGGACCAUGAGAAACAGGCUGUCUCGUAAACGUGAUAAUCCUAACUUUCCAGAUUGAUAGAAUAGCCCUUCUGACAAGACUGAUUCGAGUAGUUUGAGUAAGAAACUACGCUGGGUAGGAAGGAGCCUAAUGAAACAGGCAGUGGCUUGGACAAGCGUAAGCCAUGUGUUAAAUGAUGGUGUUUCCUCCUGAUCGUUGUUGUGAACUGAGGGAGGAGGGGGGGCUGUGAGAUAUUUGUGGGGGAUGGUGUGGCUCCUGGAUCUACUGAAAUGGGGCAGAAUGCCAUUCACGGGGAUGGUCAUUUCCCCUGUGUGGGUUGAGGGCUAUUUAUGAACCCAGAGGAGAAAGUCUGCUGGAAGGGCAUCCUUGGGGAGACUCAGUGUUACACUGAAAUUCCUUUUUGUAUUUUAAAGCCCAGUGUCGAAUACUACACAGCCAUAAAAAAAGAUGGACUCUUGCCACUUGGGACAACAUGGAUGGACCUUGAGGGUGUUAUGUAAAGUGAAAUAAAUCAGACAGAGAAAGUCAAAUACCGUAUGAUGUCACUCGUAUGUGGAAGAUAAAACAACAAACAGAGAUACAGAGAACAGAUUGGUGGUUUCCAGAGGGGGAGAGGGGUGGAGGGAGGGCGACAAGGGUAAGGGGGCACAUUUAUGCAGCGAUGGAUGGAAACUGGACUUUUAGUGCUGGACACAAUGCAGUCUAUACACAAAUUGAAAUAUAAUGAAAUACACCUGAAAUUUAUAUAGUGUUAUAAGCCAAUGUGACCUCAAUAAAAAAUUAAUUUUUAAAAAAGUCUAAUGGCCCUUUUCUUUACAGUACCUACAAGUCUCUAUCAAGAUUAAGUUUCAUGGGGCUGGCCUGGUCACGCAGCGGUUAAGUUCGCACAUUCUGCUUGGGCAGCCUGGAGUUCACCGGUUCAGAUCCCCAGUGAGGACAUGGCACCGCUUGGCGAAAGCCAUGCUGUGGCAGGCGUCCCACAUAUAAAGUGGAGGAAGAUGGACAUGGAUGUUAGCUCAGGGCCAGUCUUCCUCAGCAAAAAGAGGAGGAUUGGCAGCAGAUGUUAGCUCAGGGCUAAUCUUCCUCAAACAAAAAGAAAAGAAAAAGAUUAAGUUUCAUGGUAUCCAAUGGCCCUGAUAGGAUGGAUUUUUUUUUCACCUCUAAUUGUGUAAGUUGUGGGGCUUUAAGUUGCACUGUGUGGAUUUGAUUUUAUCUGCCGUGGCGUCCUCUUGACGUUGGGCUAGCUUGUGGGAUUCUGUAACCGAGGCAUUUGGCCAGUUAACAUUAUGUUUUUGAUCACUUCUCCCAUUUCUGGUCUCAGGAUGCUAACAAAAUUAGUGGCCAAGAUAGAAGCCCUGUCAAGGACGAGGCCUGAGGAGUCUUUCCAGACAUUUCCCAGUCUGGAUCUAUCACUGGAGACGGAUUCAACCCUCUGUCGUCUACACUCAUGGAUCUUGGACCAAUCCGUUUUAGAGGGAGCGGCAUUCAGGAUGGAGGCUAAGACGUUCCCCAACAGUAGAGCUCGGAUUUUGCCUGCGAGCUGCUCUGGCUCAUUUGGAGAGCCUCAUUGACAGGCUCACUCGGAGAUUUCAAAUCGAAGAGCUGCAGCUCCGGAACCGACCAGCAGGUGGACUCGUUGCUAUAAAUUGGGAAGUCCUGGACAGUUCCCGAUACCACCCUAAAUUGGCCGCUAAAUACCGCCCUGUUUUUGCAGGGCGCAGGAAAGUCUUUAAUAUGGCGUGUGAGUCUGAGUGUGACCCAAGGUUUAAAGAGAACUCGUCCACGUGCAUGCUUGGAUGGCCCCCUCAGCUGUGGGGCCAAAAGUCUGGGUGACAACGGGAAGCUGUGGAGCUGGAGGGCAGGGGUCAAAAGAGGAGAGAGCUUCUCUUUACCCACAACCCCAGGGCCAAGAUGAAGGUUUUUGGGGGGUUUUUCUGAGGAAGAUUAGCCCUGAGUUAACAUCUGUUGCCAAUCCUCCUCUUUUUGCUGAGGAAGACUGGCCCUGAGCUAACACCCGUGCCCAUCUUCCUCUACUUUAUAUGUGGGACGCCUGCCACAGCAUGGCUUGCCAUGACCAGUGCCAUGCACCCAGGAUCCGAACCGGCGAACCCCGGGCCACCAAAGCAGAACAUAUGCACUUAACCGCUGCACCACCAGGCCAGCCCCCAAGAUGAAGUUUAAGAAGUCAGCUCAGGGCCCAGCCCUGCGGCCAAGUGGUUAAAGUUCCGUGUGCUCCCCUCUGGUGGCCCGGGUUCGUGGGUUCAGAUCCCCAGCACAGACCUAAUCCACUCACCAGCCACGCUGUGCAGGUGUCUCACAUACAAAAAAAGAGGAGGACUGACACAGAUGUUAUCUCAGAGCAAAUCUUCCUCAGCAAAAAGAAGUAGUCAGCUCAGACGAGCCACCCUCACAGACCCCCAGGCACCCUCUAGGCUGCCCCACCCUCCUGGGCUCCCCCAGCCCAGCCCACUCUGGGUCAUCACUGUCCAGAGACUGUCUCCCCACUGGGUGGUGAACGCCCUGAAGGCGGCGCCUGGGCUGUCUCGGUCACCAGUGUGCCCAGCAUCACUCAGCACUAGUGUGACAAACGGAUGAACCAGUGAACGAGCACAUUCAGUGUGUGAAGUCACCACCUCAAUUCAAAAGAAACAUACUAAACAUCG